GGCAGGCCUAACACAUGCAAGUCGAGCGGUAAGGCCUUUCGGGGUACACGAGCGGCGAACGGGUGAGUAACACGUGGGUGAUCUGCCCUGCACUCUGGGAUAAGCUUGGGAAACUGGGUCUAAUACCGGAUAUGACCGCAUGCCGCAUGGUGUGUGGUGGAAAGAUUUAUCGGUGCAGGAUGGGCCCGCGGCUAUCAGCUUGUUGGUGGGGUAAUGGCCUACCAAGGCGACGACGGGUAGCCGACCUGAGAGGGUGACCGGCCACACUGGGACUGAGACACGGCCCAGACUCCUACGGGAGGCAGCAGUGGGGAAUAUUGCACAAUGGGCGCAAGCUGAUGCAGCGACGCCGCGUGAGGGACGAAGGCCUUCGGGUUGUAAACCUCUUUCAGCAGGGACGAAGCGUGAGUGACGGUACCUGCAGAAGAAGCACCGGCUAACUCUGUGCCAGCAGCCGCGGUAAU
rnacentral:rRNA from 1 species